rnacentral:lncRNA from 1 species
AACACUUUUGAACCAUUUGAAUGUCCUUGGUAAAUCCUUGUUUCAAUCUUUUGUGUCAUUGCUUUGGUUGUGAGGGUGAAAACUUUUGUUUAGGGACAAACAAAAUGCUAAGUUGGGGAGAGUUGUUAGGGACCAAUUAGUACUACUUUUUAUAUCAUUUUAUUGGUCCCUUUUACCAAGUUUUGAUGUAAUUACACAUU